rnacentral:rRNA from 1 species
UACGUAGGGUGCGAGCGUUAAUCGGAAUUACUGGGCGUAAAGUGUGCGCAGGCGGCCGAGCAAGUCGAGUGUGAAAUCUCCGGGCUUAACCCGGAAAGGUCAGCCGAUACUGCGGGGCUAGAGUGCAGAAGGGGCAACUGGAAUUCUCGGUGUAGCGGUGAAAUGCGUAGAUAUCGAGAGGAACACCUGCGGCGAAGGCGGGUUGCUGGGCUGACACUGACGCUGAGGCGCGAAAGCUAGGGGAGCGAACGGG